rnacentral:tRNA from 1 species
UGGGAUUUAGCUCAGCGGCAUAAGCACCUGCCUUGCAAGCAGGCAGUCGUGAGUUCGAUUCCCGGUACCAA